rnacentral:rRNA from 1 species
GAUGAACGCUGGCGGCGUGCCUAAUACAUGCAAGUCGAGCGAACAGACGAGGAGCUUGCUCCUCUGACGUUAGCGGCGGACGGGUGAGUAACACGUGGAUAACCUACCUAUAAGACUGGGAUAACUUCGGGAAACCGGAGCUAAUACCGGAUAAUAUAUUGAACCGCAUGGUUCAAUAGUGAAAGACGGUUUUGCUGUCACUUAUAGAUGGAUCCGCGCCGCAUUAGCUAGUUGGUAAGGUAACGGCUUACCAAGGCAACGAUGCGUAGCCGACCUGAGAGGGGGGUCGGCCCCCCCGGAACCGGGACACGGGCCCGGCUCCCACGGGGGGCCACAGGUGGGAAUCUGCCGCAAUGGGCGGAAGCCUGGCGGAGGCACGGCGGGUUGGGUGAGGAGGGCCUCCGAUCGGAAAACCCCGUUUUUAGGGGAAAACAAAUUUGGUAGUAACCAAGCACGGCUUGACGGUAACCAAUCCAGAAGCCACGGCUAACUACGUG